rnacentral:lncRNA from 1 species
AAGAGUGUGAUCAAACCUUCAUUUAGAAAUCCCUUUGUUGCCUUAGAACGUGGACAAGGAUGGAGACACAAUGGAGGUGAGAGGAACAAUUUGAAAGUCAGAAUAGAAGCUGAAGCAGCUGCAACUAGAGGGUAUAGAAGUUCUAACGAGGUAGAAAGAGGGAAGAACCAAAAGGGUGAAAUCUACCAAUACCAAGAGUCAAAAACAAAUUGA